CGGGGAUUGGCCCAGCGGUAGGGCGCCGGCUUCGGGAGCCGGAGGUCGUGAGUUCAAAUCUCACAUCCCCGACCA
rnacentral:tRNA from 1 species